CUACGUGCCAGCAGCCGCGGUAAUACGGAAGGUUCGGGCGUUAUCCGGAUUUAUUGGGUUUAAAGGGAGCGUAGGCCGGAGAUUAAGUGUGUCGUGAAAUGUAGACGCUCAACGUCUGACUUGCAGCGCAUACUGGUUUCCUUGAGUACGCACAACGUUGGCGGAAUUCGUCGUGUAGCGGUGAAAUGCUUAGAUAUGACGAAGAACUCCGAUUGCGAAGGCAGCUGACGGGAGCGCCACUGACGCUUAAGCUCGAAGGUGCGGGUAUCGAACAGGAUUAGAUACCCUGGUAGUCCGCACAGUAAACGAUGGAUGCCCGCUGUUGGUACCUGGUAUCAGCGGCUAAGCGAAAGCAUUAAGCAUCCCACCUGGGGAGUACGCCGGCAACGGUGAAACUCAAAGGAAUUGACGGGGGCCCGCACAAGCGGAGGAACAUGUGGUUUAAUUCGAUGAUACGCGAGGAACCUUACCCGGGCUKAAUUGCAGAGGAAGGAUUUAGAGAUAAG
rnacentral:rRNA from 1 species